CAACUUUUAACAAUGGAUCUCUUGGCUCUUGCAACGAUGAAGAACGCAGUAAAGUGCGAAAUGUAAUGCGAUUUGCAUGAAUCUGUGAGUCAUCGAAUUUUUGAACGCAACUUGCGCCCUAUUUUUUUAGGGCAUGUCUGUUUGAGUACCAUAAUCUU
rnacentral:rRNA from 1 species